rnacentral:lncRNA from 1 species
GCCGCCUUCGCUGCUCCGCCGCGGCUCUCAGCGCCGCUCAGCGCGGCGGGCCCGCCCGGGCUCAGGUGCCCCCCGCUCUCCGGACCUUCUCGCCCGGCCCCGCGUCCCCUCCGCGGGCUUCCCCCGGCGGCCGGCCGGGCUCGGAGGCUCGCGGCCGGAGCGGAGCGGAGUGCGCACGCCGGGGUGGCAGGACUUCGGCAAGACCAACUUUCCGUGGUCCUGUCUGGUGUGAACCGUCAGCACAGAUGGCCUCCUGGAGCUUCCCCGAGUCGUUCGCUGGGGGAAGCGGGCGGUGAGCGGCCAGCCCGGGCGCUCCGCAGGCCGCGAGCUCCCGGCAGGGCUGGUGGCGGGGGUCCGCCUGGGGGAGGAAUCCCCGCCUGCUCCAUCGGACCCGGCCUGGCGCGGCUCGCGGCGCUCGGCGGGCUCCCUUCCAUUCUAGAAUCUUCCCGCUUGCUUCCCAGCCCGCGUUCUUCCGCCUGCCUUUAAUUGUAAUUUACAGGAUUAAGGAGUUUGGGGAAGUCGCAGAGCUGCAGCGGAAAGGCAGGGGUCUGAGACUACUUUUGAGAAGAGAAACAACGCAAAACGAUCGCUGGAGGGCCAGAGCCCUGGUCGAAGAAGCAGACACAGGUUCCCACGGCGUCUGACGCCUGCGGAGCAAGUCCAGAGCCAGCUGGACUCGCAGCCUCUGGCCCGGCGGCACCAACUCCUCACUGGGUCAUUUUGAGCGCGCUGUGCCCACCUUUUCUGUUGCGUGUGGACGUGGGGAGGAUCUUCUAAGUCCCUCCAACGAAGGCAAGUGUGAGACUCUGGCCCUUUAUUUGUAAGAAGCAAGCCUUCAGAUUGCAGAAGUGUCGCGCGGGUCGCCGUGCGUUGCGCGAGUGGGAAGAUGGAGGAGGCCGGCACGCUGCUUUCGUGGACGCAAGUGAACCGGGCGUGAAGGCAGGGUGCGAGCUCUGCCCUUGGCCCAGCCCUGCGUGGGCGCCGUCCCAGAUUCCGGGCGGUGCGGGGUGCAGAGAUCUGGAGAGACUUGCGGGCUCCCCAGCGCAGGCUGCUCUGGGAUUUCGUUGGAAGAUCCGGCAGAGCCUUGGAGGAGAGGGCCCGGGAGGCUGUGUGUGCAGCGGAAACUUGUACGAAUGCCCCCACAGCGGAAAUGGUGCGCACGAGUAAUUUCUGCGGUGCACCCUUUUAAAAAUUGACAAGUGAACAAGAUCAAUUUUUUAAGAAAGCAAAGGUAGAAAACAAAAGGCGUGCGACUUCUUGACUGGCUUGUUCCCGCCUUUCUUCCUUCUCUAUACUCAGAUCAGAAACUUUUCUUUAAUUGCUCUUAUUCAGUGCGACAACUUUUAAUAAAAGCAUUUGCAUUUUAAGCCUGAGUUGCAACCAUAGAUUUAUUGCGAAGUGACAACGUGUCUAUGGAAUAUUUUCGCAGAUGAGACAGGACAUGCGCUCUAGUCGUGCCCAGAUUAAAGCGACGCUGGGCCAUGUGCCUGUGUAGUGCAGACUCGGAGGGGCACACACAUACUCGUCACCACAUGACCACUGUCUAUUAAUAUUGUCAUACCUAAACACUCGCAAAAACAAAAGUUGCUUUUCUUCCCUGUAAUUAAAUCUAAUUUGUUAAUUGUCUUUCCUCUUGCAAUGUUGUUUUCAUCUUGAGGUGACACAUUAUUAUUUUGUCUAAUAUUAUUUACAAAUUAAUGCUGUAUAUUUUACAUUAGUGAAACAUAUAAUUAGGUGUUUGGUUCAAUCGGUAUCAUUCAGAUAAAACAAAGCCUAUCUGCAAGAUUGAUUGGAAGUGGAGUAGUUGGUUCUAAUUUACCAUCACAGUCACAGUUUAUUGAAGCUACCUGGCCCCAGAUUCACAGAAGCUAGUUUUACCUAAGGUGCAUUUGAUGCUUUGUUUACAAGUGUUUAUUUUCCCCAACCACUUAAUGCAAAAAAAAAAAAACACCUUCAAAUAUUAGGGCUUUCAUUUCAUUUUCUGUCUUCUUUCAUUCCUCCCCCCACCCAAAGUUCCUUUCUUCUAUUCUCUGGCCACCUCUCUCCGUUUCCUCCCCUACCCCCAACUUUUGUUUUAGGUUCUUAGAGUUAAAUUCAGCAUGAUUUGGUGCCUCUAAUGCUGUGACAAGUGACUGCUAAUUGGUUCUCACUUGAGCAAAGAUAUUACCAUACUAAUAUUAUUAUUGGUAAGAAGAGGUAAUUGAUAACACCACCUGCCACUCUGGGGCAAUCAGGAUGAUAAAUGUUUCCAUCAACAGGAAAUCUGUGCUUGGUGUGCCACAGCCCAACGCAAACAGCAUGUCAAGUGCCAAUUAUAAAGAUGUUGCUUUUCUAUUACAUUGGGUGG